rnacentral:lncRNA from 1 species
UUUUUCUUUUUUCCUUUCUAGGGCCACAUCUGCAGUUAUAUGGAAGUUCCCAGGCCAGGGCUCGAAUCAGAGCUGUAGCUGCCAGCCUACACCACAGCCACAGGAACCCAGGAUCUGAGCAUCUGUGACCUACACCACAGCUCACAGCAAUGCCGGAUCCUUAGCCCAGUGAAGGAGGCCAGGGAUCAAACCCACAUCCUCACAGACACUGGGUCAGAUACUUAAUCUACUGCGCCACAGUGGGAACUCCCGACACAAUCAUUUUUCCAUAGUUAUUUGUCAGUGAAUGAAUGAAUGAUCACAUUAGCAGGAGAAGAACAUUCACUGAGCUGUCAAUGCCCGAGGACCCCAAGCUGCAAUGUAGCACAGUUUUUCUUUUUCGCUUUUUGCUUUGUAGGGCCGCACCUGCGGCAUGUGGAGUCGGUUCAUAAAGCCAGGACAGCGAGCCUGGUUCUCUGGAUGUUUCAGAGGUUGAUCUGGACUGGGAGGUGGGAUGGAGGUGGAUGACAGAAGAACGGAUGGAAGUACAAAGAGUGUGACCAUCCCACAAAGCAUAUGCAUCUAUGAAACCGAUUAACUCAUUCAAAAUAGAUCUGGGCAUGGAUGCACCGAGAGAUUCUCAUACUAAGGCAAAGAAGUCAGCAAGAGAAAGGCAGGUACCAUAUGAGAGCACUUACAUGUGGAAUCUGAAAGAGGGCACAAAGGCACCUACCUACAGAACAGAAACAAACUCACAGACAUGGAGAACAGAGGCUGCCAAGGGGGUCGGGAGAGGGAGUGGGAUGGACGGGGAGUUUGAGGUUCGUACAUGCAAACUAUUGCAUUUAGAAUGGAUAAGCAGUGGGGUCUUACUGUACAGCACAGGGAACUAUGUCCAAUCUCUUGGGUUAGAACAUGAUGGAAGAUACUAUUAAAAAAAAAAGAAUAUAUAUUGACUGGGUCCCUGCUAUACAGCAGAAAUUGAAGGAAUAUUGUAAAUCAACCAUAAUUUAAUAAAAAAAAUUUAAAAAUAGGUCUGUGUGUCUCAUUUUGGGGUUGUUAGGGGCACAGAAGUAAGCGAGACAGAUACACACCAGGCUUUCACAGCUCCUCCAGCCCAAUGCAGGAUCCAGAUAACACACAAGCAAUAAACAGGCUAACUGGAGUCAUGACAAGUACGUGGCAGAUGUAUUCUAAGUGAAAUGACAGAGAAUAACAAGGCAGGCAGUGGUUUGCAACUUCAGGCUUCUCCCUUCUCUCUCCAGGGUCCUCAAAUCCUAGUAUUUCUCGUACACAAAACUUCCUCAAAACUUUCAUUCUUUCUUACCUUUCUCUGUUCGAACAAUAAAGGCAGCAGAAGGAAAUGCUUCUCUUCCUCUAUUUCUCUGCCUACAUUCUCCUCUCUCACCUCCCACUUUCACAUACGCAUUAAAUCAAAAUAAUCCCCGGAAUUCCUACUCCCAAUCUAGCAGAGGGGGGCUAGGGAGAGAAGGAAGCAUAUAUCCGAGCUCUGCUAUGCAGCAGCUUAGGCAAGACAAGAGAUACACAUGUAGAAUGUGGGAACAAGGGUGUCUGGAGGGUUGGUGAAGGGACACAGCAAAUGGACAGGUCAGGGAGCAUCCUUUUGUGUGCCCUCUGGACCAUAAGGUACCAAAUCAAGUGACAUGCACCCCACCCUUGGCCUGGCCAGCGAUUAAAUGAAUGCUUUUAUGCUGUUGCCACUCUUGCUCCGCAUCCCUCUGGAAUCCCAAAAGAUGCCUGACCUCUCCCAUUUACAGUCAAGCUGCUGACUUCUUUAACUCAAGAGAAUUCCACCUCCCUAGGCGAUCAUCACUACUCUUUGUCUUUCUAAUCACCUUUGCACGGUUCUACCCUUGUUUGCUCUAAAAAUAUUAGCUCAGGGGUCAACCUUCUACACUGAAAAGAGAGUCGGGAGUCUCUGUAUCCUACAAAGGGGGAUCAAGGAACUCAAGUACACAGGGAAAACGGCCUUCGUGAGGAAGAUCUUAUUUGGUGAAGACGCAGGGACCAGGCCUGUGGCCCGAGGUAGAUGCCAGGUCACCUGUUUUCCCCAUAACCAAGGGACCUCCCAGAACUCCAUCUCUGAUCUAGACACAAGUUGAGAUGUCUCUAUACUAAGAUCACAGGAAGGGUGCCCCUGCUGGUGAGGUUGAGGAUAGACAGGGCUCGGAAUUGGGAAACAAACACACAGAGAAGUCGAGAAAUCAACUUGCUUCCUUGGAAUAGAAGGUAGGUAGGGAUGCCCGAAAACAAGGCAAAGUGUCAGGUAGGAACUAGCUUAUUCAACAAGGAGCUAAGUGAUAUUCACGCUUCAGGAAUGUUAGUCUCCAAUAUACAGGAGGGAAGCCAGGGGAAGGUGGCUUUAGGUGUGAGGACCUCUAAGGAAGAGUUCACGGCCAUGUGAAGGUGUCUGCGGAGUGGGAUGCCAACAGCGGGGAUGGGAGUCGGGCUUUAAGAAAGCCCUGGUCCAAAACGCCCCCCUCUCUCAGUGGUGGAUGAAGAAUAAGACAACGUCAGUGAUGAUGGGCACUUGAGACUGGGGUCCCCGGGAAGAGCAUGGUGUCCUUGGGUGAGUGAGUGGGGUUUGGUCCAAUUUGAGUGUUAGACAUUUUGGAGUCAGGAGUGCCAGUGAAGAGAUACAGCGAUCUGUGCUGGAUUUGGCACGGGCACUCAGUGAGAUGUGGAGCAGUUGUUCCAGGCUUUGCAGUUGACAAAGCAGAGGUAGAAGCUUUGAAGAAAAAUACCGAGUGGUAAGUCAAGGACAAAAACCAGCCACCAGGGUGGCCCAGACUCGUCUCCAGUCUGCUGUCCUUUCUGUUUUCCCCACUUACACCAGAGUCCAUCAGAAGGUGAGGGGCAAUCAGUUAUCUGUCCCCCCCCCCAUCUCUCCAUGCGUUCACCCAUCACUACAUUCAAUGCGUACCGAUUGUCUCUUAUGGCCGUUACUACCAUAGAUGCUGUGGAUACAAUCAGAGCUAAUGUAUUAUUUAACAGUCGGCAGAAAUCAGGCUCCAACCAAUCAGAAUAGACACAUGGGGGGGUAGUGGAGGAUGGUGCUGAGGGACCAUUAACCCUUCAGUUCUGGGUCAGGAUCCAUGUGGGGGGAUAAAGCAUAUGGAAUUGGAGGGGGUGAAAGAUGCUUAGGGGUUUGGGACAGCAGGAUUUUACCCACCCAUAUCCAUCCCAGUCUAUGCCAGCUGAUGUAUCAGCCUGCACUGAAGGACGGACAAUUCAGACCUGGCCCCUGUACUCAAAGGACCUCUAGUCCAGAAAUGCC